AUGACGAGGUGGAGCUCGAGGAGGUGCGGCGAAGCCGAAGACAACGAGACGCUACUCAAGAAGGCGGGACGCAGUCGGAGAGGAGCAUCCGCGGAUCAACGGGGGCUCCGGCGCCGCGGGAUGGUCGUGGUGGACGCCGACAGGGGCAAUGGCCCGAUCGGCGGGCGGUUGGAAGGCACAGGUGAGGAGAGCAAGGCAAUGAACGAGGCGUGGCGGGGACGCCACGCGCAGCUCGGGGCUCCAACGCCGCGGGAUGGUCGCGGUGGACGCUGA
rnacentral:rRNA from 1 species